GGCCGUGUGGCGAAAUGGCAUCGCGUCUGACUACGAUUCAGAAACAUCGCGAUCAGGAGAUUGCAGGUUCGACCCCUGCCUCGGUCA
rnacentral:tRNA from 2 species